AGUACUGAAUUUAUUUUUCAUCCUUUUAAUUUUUAUUUUUCAACUUAAAUUGCUUUCUUCAAAAUUUUUUUUUUUUUGUAAAAUCAAAGAUUUCAAAUCAAAAUUCUGCCUUCUCUGUGGAUUCAACCCAACUCGCUACUUUGUGCAUAUUUUUAAUUUUUAUUAAAGUCAGAAUUUGAUUGAUAAUCACGGUGUCCUA
rnacentral:lncRNA from 1 species